rnacentral:tRNA from 1 species
UAAAUAAUGGUUCAGUGGUAGAAUGCUCGCCUUUCACGCGGGCACCCCGGGUUCGAUUCCCGACCGAUGCAUUUUUUUUUUA